rnacentral:rRNA from 1 species
UACGAAGGGGGCUAGCGUUGCUCGGAAUUACUGGGCGUAAAGGGCGCGUAGGCGGACAGUUUAGUCAGAGGUGAAAGCCCAGGGCUCAACCUUGGAAUUGCCUUUGAUACUGACUGUCUUGAGUUCGGGAGAGGUGAGUGGAAUGCCGAGUGUAGAGGUGAAAUUCGUAGAUAUUCGGCGGAACACCAGUGGCGAAGGCGACUCACUGGCCCGAUACUGACGCUGAGGCGCGAAAGCGUGGGGAGCAAACAGGG